UAUGGCUAUAUUACAUUGAAACUACUUGUUCCUGUACAAUCACUGAAGUUAAACAACAUCAAGCCUGGUCAGUACCUAGAUGGGUGACUGCUUGGAAAUAUCAGGUGCUGUAAG